AACGAACGCUGGCGGCAGGCCUAACACAUGCAAGUCGAACGAAGUCUUCGGACUUAGUGGCGCACGGGUGAGUAACACGUGGGAAUAUACCUUACGCUGGGGGAUAACAUCGGGAAACUGAUGCUAAUACCGCAUACGCCCUUCGGGGGAAAGAUUUAUCGGCGAACGAUUAGCCCGCGUCCGAUUAGCUAGUUGGUGAGGUAAUGGCUCACCAAGGCUCCGAUCGGUAGCUGGUCUGAGAGGAUGACCAGCCACACUGGGACUGAGACACGGCCCAGACUCCUACGGGAGGCAGCAGUGGGGAAUAUUGGACAAUGGGCGCAAGCCUGAUCCAGCCAUGCCGCGUGAGUGAUGAAGGCCUUAGGGUUGUAAAGCUCUUUAACCCACGACGAUGAUGACGGUAGUGGGAGAAGAAGCCCCGGCUAACUUCGUG
rnacentral:rRNA from 1 species